AGUCCUGUAGUACAGCGGUCAAGUAUGUGAGGUUCUGGACCUCAUGACCCAGGUUCGAAUCCUGGCAGGACUA
rnacentral:tRNA from 1 species